UAUUAUAAUAGCUUAAAUACCAAAGCAUAACUUUGAAGAGGUUAAAAUGGAUAAUCCUUAUAAUAA
rnacentral:tRNA from 1 species